rnacentral:rRNA from 1 species
AGCGGCGGACGGGUGAGUAACACGUGAGUAACCUGCCUUUACACAGGGAUAGCCUCGGGAAACCGGGAUUAAAACCUGAUGAAACUAUCAAAUCACAUGAUUAAGAAAGUUAAAACUCCGGUGGUAAAAGAUGGACUCGCGUCCCAUUAGCUAGUUGGUGAAGGUAACGGCCCACCAAGGCAACGAUGGGUAGCCGGCCUGAGAGGGUGAACGGCCACAUUGGAACUGAGAAACGGUCCAAACUCCUACGGGAGGCAGCAGCU